UACGUAGGGUGCAAGCGUUAAUCGGAAUGACUGGGCGUAAAGGGUGCGCAGGCGGUCUGCUAAGACAGAGGUGAAAGCCCCGGGCUUAACCUGGGAAUGGCCUAUGUGACUGGCAGGCUGGAGGAUGGCAGAGGGAGGCGGAAUGCCACGUGUAGCAGUGAAAUGCGUAGAGAUGUGGCGGAACACCGAUGGCGAAGGCAGCCUCCUGGGCCAAUCCUGACGCUCAGGCACGAAAGCGUGGGGAGCAAACAGG
rnacentral:rRNA from 1 species